CCUACGGGCGGCAGCAGUAGGGAAUCUUCCACAAUGGGCGCAAGCCUGAUGGAGCAACACCGCGUGAGUGAAGAAGGGUUUCGGCUCGGAAAGCGCUGGGGUUGGAGAAGAAAGUGCGGGAGAGUAACUGUUCACGCAGUGACGGUAUCCAACCAGAAAGGCACGGCUAACUACGUGCCAGCAGCCGCGGUAAGACGUAGGUGGCAAGCGUUAUCCGGAUUUAUUGGGCGUAAAGCGAGCGCAGGCGGUUGCUUAGGUCUGAGGUGAAAGCCUUCGGCUUAACCGAAGAAGUGCAUCGGAACCCGUGCGACUUGAGUGCAGACGAGGCCAGUGGCACUCCAUGUGUAGCGG
rnacentral:rRNA from 1 species